UCAGUGUCGGUAUAUGAGCCUGAUGGCUAC
rnacentral:sRNA from 1 species